GUGGGGAAUAUUGCGCAAUGGGCGAAAGCCUGACGCAGCAACGCCGCGUGAGGGAUGAAGGCCUUCGGGUUGUAAACCUCUUUUAGCAGGGAAGAAGCGAAAGUGACGGUACCUGCAGAAAAAGCACCGGCUAACUACGUGCCAGCAGCCGCGGUAAUACGUAGGGUGCAAGCGUUAUCCGGAAUUAUUGGGCGUAAAGAGCUCGUAGGCGGUUUGUCGCGUCUGCUGUGAAAAUUCGAGGCUCAACCUCGGACUUGCAGUGGGUACGGGCAGACUAGAGUGCAGUAGGGGAGAAGGGAAUUCCUGGUGUAGCGGUGGAAUGCGCAGAUAUCAGGAGGAACACCAAUGGCGAAGGCACUUCUCUGGGCUGUAACUGACGCUGAGGAGCGAAAGCGUGGGGAGCGAACAGGAUUAGAUACCCUUGUAGUCC
rnacentral:rRNA from 1 species